rnacentral:rRNA from 1 species
AGCGAACGCUGGCGGCAGGCCUAACACAUGCAAGUCGAACGAAGUCUUCGGACUUAGUGGCGGACGGGUGAGUAACACGUGGGAACGUGCCCUUUGGUACGGAAUAACUCAGGGAAACUUGAGCUAAUACCGUAUGUGCCCUUCGGGGGAAAGAUUUAUCGCCAUUGGAGCGGCCCGCGUCUGAUUAGCUAGUUGGUGAGGUAAAGGCUCACCAAGGCGACGAUCAGUAGCUGGUCUGAGAGGAUGAUCAGCCACAUUGGGACUGAGACACGGCCCACACUCCUACGGGAGGCAGCAGUGGGGAAUCUUGAGCAAUGGGCGAAAGCCUGACGCAGCCAUGCCGCGUGAAUGAUGAAGGUCUUAGGAUUGUAAAAUUCUUUCACCGGGGACGAUAAUGACGGUACCCGGAGAAGAAGCCCCGGCUAACUUCGUGCCAGCCGCCGCAGUAACAC